rnacentral:rRNA from 1 species
UUGACCUCAAAUCAGGUAGGACUACCCGCUGAACUUAAGCAUAUCAAUAAGCGGAGGAAAAGAAACUAACAAGGAUUCCCCUAGUAACUGCGAGUGAAGAGGGAAAAGCUCAAAUUUAAAAUCUGGCGGCUCGCCGUCCGAGU